rnacentral:rRNA from 1 species
UACGAAGGGUGCAAGCGUUGCUCGGAAUUAUUGGGCGUAAAGCGAGCGCGGGUGGUCUCUUAAGUCAGGAGUGAAAGCCCUGGGCUCAACCCAGGAAGUGCUUUGAUACUGGGAGACUUGAAUGUGGGAGAGGGUGCUAGAAUACCUAGUGUAGUGGUGAAAUACGUAGAUAUUAGGUGGAACACCGGUGGGAAGGCCGGGUGACCUGGCCCCAACA